GCCGCCAGCCCACUUUUAAGAACCGCAACAAGAACCCAAAAACCCUAGCGUAGCUUUCUCACCGCCUCGCUCUAUAAGUACUAACAUGUUUUCGCCAUAUCUCAACGCGCCGCAGCACAUACACUCAUUUCAAUUGUUCUUCUUGUUUAUUGUUUUCAAUUUUAGAUUUCUGGGGUUGCAGAUGUUUGGGCGAUGAUGAGUGAUUUGCAUAGGUCUCGUUCGUCGUAACGGCAUCUUCGAUGCCUUGCCGACCAUCCUGAUAUAUCACCACCCAUAAACUGAGUCCAUCAUUUCCUUCUCCCUUUCUCUGUAUUCUGAUUUUUACAUUGAGUACGUAAUUUUGGUUUUUUCUUUUUUUUGUUUAUGGUGUAGUAUUUAAUUCGUUGGCCGAUGAUUAUGAAUGUAAUCUAUUGACAAGCAUAUGUCUGAAACACCAUGUGUGGAUACAUCUAAUCUUCUCUAUGAGGCUGGUUUUUAGCUUGAUUUUUUAUGUUAAUUCGUUCUUGGUUUUGCUUGAUUGUGGGCUUCUUGUUUUGGGUUUAAAUUUAGAUUUGUGGGUUCAUUUUCUUUUUGUAAACAAGUUAUGUGAAGCGCUUAUUCUGUAAAUUUUGAAGCUGCCUAUGAUGAAUUACGUGGUAUUCAUGAGUAAUCUCUGAUUACAAAAACACUACUGCCUUCCUUCUGAGGCAUUGUUUUCAACCCCAGUUCAUUGCUCUUGUCUUUUCAUUAGAUUCCGAGUUGUUGAAUACGUGGUUACAGUUUUAUUUCUUAAGGACUUGUUUUGUGCUGUUCAGCAUUUUGUAAUUUAACUAUUUGUCUUUUAUUAGUUUGUAUUUUCUAAAAAUCUUUAAUUAUAUCGUAGAUACUGGAAAUGGGGGUCAAGUGAUGAUCAGAUGCAUAGUUCAAAUGAUUAUUUGUGAUUAUAAAACUUUUUAGUCUUUCGCUCCUAUCUGAUGACUCCUACGUCUCGUUGUUAUCAUUCUUGAAAUUGGAGUUCAACUUCUUUCUUUGAGAUUGCAAUUCCUUCUGUUUAAAAGUUUAAAACUUGUAAUUUUGGGAAUUUCAUUCCCCCAGUUUACUUGAAUUGCAAGGUCCACAUGCAGCAUUUGUUUCUUAGUUUAUCUGAGUUGUUCAGGUAAGAAUUGGUGAGGAUUAACAACACAUUGGUCUUAUUUGUCAAAAAAAUAUAAGUGAAUUCUUGCUACAUAGUGGCCAGUGCUUAUAUUUUAUCUCAAACACAAGCAUAUGUCUGAAGCAUUUUGUGUGGACUGUCUAAUCUUCUCAAAGAGGCCUCUAGUUUAUAAUGUUGCUAAUUAUAUUGUCUGAGAUGUUCUGAUGUAACGAGCCUGGGUCUGGCAGAGGUGUCUUCUUUCCUUUUGUUUGCAAUUAAGUGUAAAUCUGUAAAAGAUGUUUUUAAAUAAGUGAUCUUUCCAUACCUGUAGUAGGUCUUAGCUGAUGUAUAUUGGUUGAAUUUAUCAUGAUCAUUUUGUUGGUUUCUAAAGCUGUUGUUAAUUGUAUGUAUCCAUAAGACUUUUGUUGCUCUGCUAUUUUCCCUCUUCAACUAGUUGAGGCCGAGAUGACUAGUGCUUUAACUUCUUUCUGACACCUCUUGUAUGAGAAGGGCCUUGACAGGCCUUUCAUUGAGCACAGAAAGCAACUAUCUGAGCCUCAUGUGUUUCAUCUAAUAUUUGUUGAUUUUUUUUCAAUUACAAAAAAAUGUGCGUUUUCUUGUAGAAUCACAGACGCUCCUCUGCUUAGUAAAUAUUUUAUCAGCUUAAAUUUUCAAUUUUUGAGUUCUUGUAGAUCUUAUCUGUCUAUGUCCUCUGCAUACUUUGAGUGGAAUUUCAGGCAACCCCCUUCUGUUGUACAAAGUGAGAAGGGUGGUGUUAAUCUGCUCAUAGAUCAAUCAGCUUUUGCUCUUCAGACUUGCUGAGUAUUUCCUUGAAGCUGGUCUAGGCCUGGAUGAGAUAGCCAAUUCGUCCAUGAUGUUAGUAACCUUUUAAAAUCAGUGUUAGGAUGCAAGAGUCUUUACAUGAAGAAGCUUCGCAAUCUGGUUGACAGGAUAUAUUUGGUGCCUUUCAACUCGUUCCCUUGAAGCAAAAGCAUGCGUGUUGCUCUUUUUAUGACACUCCAUCUUUGUACUUGUGUGUUUGGAGCACACUGGGGCAGCUACAUAUUGUCACAUAUAAAAGAAGUGAUUUUCUUCAUACUAAUUUCUACUGUUUUCAUUGAAGAUUGAAACAACGAUGAUGAGUUCUACAGACCUGUAAUGAUUGCGGAUAUGAUCGCAAUUAUUAUGAACAUCUAAGGGACUGAGUUGUUUCAUUUUAUCUAAAUGUCCAAUAGUUAUACUCUUUCAAUGUGUUUAAUCUUUGUGCAAUUGCUUCAUUCUAUUUCAAUCCUGUCACACUGAUCUAUUUUAGUGUGUGGCAUUGUCUUGAAGUGAAGCUACAACUUGUUCCCCUCGCUAUCCGGUGAUACUUCUAUAGUGCAUUUGGACGUUGGGAAACUACAUUUUUUUCUAUAACCAUGGUUAAUUUUCACAUAUAUCCCGUUUGAAAAUUUGUAACUGUACCAUUUUCUUUAGAAAGUUGGAAAAAUACGUUUUCCCCCUCUGAUAUUCUUUCUUGAUACUUGGCAUCCUUGUAAAACAAGUACAUAAAUUAUUAAUUGUCUUUUAUUUA